rnacentral:rRNA from 1 species
AUUGAACGCUGGCGUCAUGCCUUACACAUGCAAGUCGAACGGCAGCAUGGGGGCAACCCUGGUGGCGAGUGGCGAACGGGUGAGUAAUACAUCGGAACGUGCCCAGUAGUGGGGGAUAGCCCGGCGAAAGCCGGAUUAAUACCGCAUGCGACCUACGGGUGAAAGCGGGGGAGUCGCAAGACCUCGCGCUGUUGGAGCGGCCGAUGUCAGAUUAGGUUGUUGGUGGGGUAAAGGCCUACCAAGCCGACGAUCUGUAGCUGGUCUGAGAGGACGACCAGCCACACUGGGACUGAGACACGGCCCAGACUCCUACGGGAGGCAGCAGUGGGGAAUUUUGGACAAUGGGGGCAACCCUGAUCCAGCCAUGCCGCGUGCGGGAAGAAGGCCUGGUU